UGUGUGUGUGUGUGUGUGUGUGUGAGGAGUAGUGGCUUUACUAGGUGGCAAGCACAAAACAAUUAUUAACCUCUAAUUUUGGUUCUUAGAAUUAGCAUUAGGCAUUAGUCAAAAUAAAUAGAGAUGGUAGUGUGUGUGUGUGUGUGUGUGUGUGUGUGUGUGUGUGUGUGUGUGUGUGUGUGUGUGUGUGUGUGUGUGUGUGUUAGGUAAGGGGGAAGGUAUUCAAUAUCUAUAUACUUAUAUACGUAGUUAGACACUGUUUUGGAGGUGUCUAUGGGAUUUAGGGUACUACCUGGGCUUCUAAAUCACACAAUAAACAGUUGAACAUUAUUUUGCUACCACGUAUGGCCACUAAAAACAGUGUGCAGGCCUAUUUAUAAGGAACCUCUCCAAAUAGCCACCUCACAGUGUAUAUACUCACCUCCUAAAGUGGCUUGCUGGAGUCAGAGAACAUAAGAUGCUUGAGUAUAAAGGUCUGUACUGCUGCCAGCACACCACAAGGGCCUCCAUAAACUGUACGCAUAAUGGAAGUAAGUAACGGCUUCUACCACAGAGUUUAGGACCAUUCUUAUCCAUUAAAGUGUUUUUGAACAUAUCCUGGUCAAAUAAGGUACAUGUUGCAGCUGAGUUGGGCUCUGUAUGGAACUAUCACUUGUGCUGGCAACUACAUUCACAUUCGAAGGUGGAAAAGCUCUUUAGUUUUAUAAUAUUUCACUCAGGACCAGCAGCAUCCCAGGACCAGUACAAUCAGGGUAUGGAGGCAGCCAAAAUCAAAAUAAUGGGGAAUAGCAGGCUCAUCACUCAUCCAUGCUAGCUCCCUAUUGCAUCUUUUUAUAAUUAAAUUUGCUAAUCAGUUACUAGGACUGGAUCGUUGCCAGAAAGUGACGCAUUUUCUAAGCCAAGUAGUGAAUUCAUAAGAGUUUCCAGAGAAUGUUUGGGGAAUGUUUGGGGAUUUUUAUAUAAAUUCGACCAGGGACUUACCCAGGGUCUAUGAAGAAGGUUUCCCUUAUCUAGCUGCUGCGGACUGGCUCUUGUGUUCCCGGAAAUAUAUUCAAAAUUUCAGGCGUACUCCACCCCUAGACAAACAAGUUAUAGUUAGAACAUGGGCAUGAGGUAUCUAUAUGUGUUAUAGUGUCCCAAAGCUCGAGGGCUUUAGCCCGAGGGAUGAGGGACACUAUAACCAUAGAUACCGAAUGCAUAUGUUCUAACUGAUUUAGAUCCCAAAACCUAUUGGCUACUAGAAAUGCACUAGCUUAGCAACAGUCAACCUAUAUAAACAGCCAACCUAGCAACUGCAUCAUUAUUCUUUUGAAAACUAAUAUCUGAAGUUGGCAUCUCUGUGUCUCUACUAAGUCUGUGGUCUCUAUUCAAGUCAACCCUGUUCCUCCACCUCAGUUUGAUGGACAAAAUUAUAGUCCUAGCUCCACCCACAAAACGGACACAUCCAGCUCCUCCCCCAGUUUUGCAGCAAACAAGCCCAGCACACUUCCCAAGAAACGAGCGGCUCGUACUACUCUCACAAAGCGAAAGGAAGACACCUAAGCUAUAAUUUGCAGCAAACAAGCCCAGCAAACGAGCGGCUCCUAUACUACUCUUGAAAAAAGUGAAAGGAACUUUAGGAAGAAGCCAAAGCUAGAAUCCCAGCACUUCCAUACAUCCAGCUCCUCCCCCAUGCAGCCUUGCAGCAAAAAAGCACAGCACACUGCCCAAAAAACGAGCGUCUCCUACUACUCUCGAACAAAGCCAAAAAAAAGAAACUAGAGCUUCUCUCUUUCAUUCUAGUUCUGUUAUUAUAAUUAUUACUAGACAAAGCAUCUAGCUACAAUAAUUUUUAUGUUAUUACAUGUGCAUCUUCUUGUAAAUCACAAUACAAUGUACAAUGUUGUAGUUUGUAGCCCAGAGCAAUCUAUAGUACCGGUACUAUAGCUCAUAGUUCCCUGCUAAAUACACUCAAAUGGGAUCUAAAUAAUAGUUAGACACUGUUUAGGAAGUUUCUACAUGAUUUAGAAGCCCGAAGGGCUGGUUGUAGUAUCCCGAACGCAGUGAGGGUUCUACUAGCCCUGAGGACUUCUAAAUCAUGUGGAAACUUCCUAAACAGUGUCUAAGCAUUUUAGAUCAUAGCAACCAUGAGUAUUUAGCCAAUCAGAUUUGAAUGUUCUUAUCUAAUCUUUGCUACAUGAUUUUCUAAGUGAAGUACAUGAUUUUCUAUUGAAGUACAUGAUUUUCUAUUGAAGUACAUGAUUUUCUAAAUUGGAUAGAACAUUUCCUCUAACCAAUCAGAUUGCAGUAUUUAUGACAAACAUGAUCUAAUGAUUGUAUAGACUUUAUUUGGUCGUUGAAAAAGAUUGUGUUAUCAAACCAGCUAGCAGCAAUAAAUUAUAAAUAAGAGUACAAAUGUAUAAGCAUAAUUAUGAGUACAUAAUUUCUAAUGAGUGAAUUAUUAUAAGAGUCGAUUAGGCCAUGCAAAGUCAAUUUGUAGUUUCUCAGGCCCUCGCGCUUGGAAAUUUUACUAUUUAUAUAUCACGUGACCUCAAAUUAAAGGCACUAAAAGAAAAGAAAAGGAUGAAUUUGUAUGGUUUUUUGGUCAUGAAUAUAAUUAUGACUAAAAUUAAUUAGUAACAAUUUUAUGCACUUCCGCUUAUUGAGAAAGUUAGGGGUGUGUUUUUCAAUUAAAUUCUAUGAAUAUCAUUAUUAUUAAUAAAAUGCCUCAUUGAAUCCGCUUGCUAUUUUAGGAAUAAUAGCCUGAGAAACUACAAAUUGACUUUGCAUGGCCUUAUACUAUACUGUGGGAACGUACCAAGUCCUUGUAGUCGCAUUCUCUUACUUGGUGAGUGUACACUGUUUUAUAGUACUUGACAUCCACUUUCCCCCAAAAUAAUUUCCUCCUUGUUUAUCUGCUUCUCUUUUCUAGCUCUGUAGCUAGCUAGCUGUCCACUUGCACUGUGCAUGUGUGCAGACCCCAGGGUCAAAAUAACACCUGUGCCACAGGUGUUAUAUAAAAAAUCCGAAUUGAAGCCGUAGACAUAAACACAGCACACAACUUGAAUAAUUAUUUUUUUGUAACUUCACAGGCUGUGGGAAGUGAGUAAAGAUCAUUAAUUAAACUAUGAUUAAACAACCUCAAUUUACGGAAACAAAAUUAAUUUCUGAGUGGAUUUUGGAUCUCUGUUGUGUCUAAAUCUUGCCAGUUGUUACAUCAACAUCAUUAUAACUGAAUGGAUAACGUAGCAGGCUUAGUACAGCAGUGGCUAUAUUUCUACUGUUGCUAACGUAAUAACGAAGAUAUCACUAGAGGACAGGAGUCUGGAGAACAGAGAUACACAACGGUACUUGAUUUAUGUGGAAAUAUGUAUUAUCUAGCAAUGGACAGAUUUUAAUUAUGACUCUGAUAUAACUAUGGCUCAAAAUGCAAAUAAAUAUUACACAAACAAAUACAUGUAACAAAAAAAUUUAUGUUCAGGUUGGUAGUUAGAUCUUGAGGUGCAUCUAUGGUUUGAGUACGUGCAUGAAGAGUAUAACACACAGACUCUUUGCAAAUGAUAUGGUAUCACUAAUUGAUCCUAUGAAUAAUGCCAAGGGCGUAUAAAAGAAGAGAGUACACGUAGCUAUAGCAGAAUUCAAAUGUGGGCAAAGGAUGUGUGAAUGUGCAUGAAAUUUCAAUUUUUAGCAUAUUCACACAUUCCUCUGCCCACAUUUAAAUUCUGCUAUAGCUACGUAUAGUGUCACAAAAACGAAACCAACAACGACACUACUACUCUUGGAAAGAGAAAGCAGAGUUCUAGAGAGACUGAUUCUAACCAAUAACUGAUGUAAUUGCUACUUUUAUAGCUAUGCACACGCAUCCAUAAUUAUAUCCAAAUCUCAUUCUCUACACUCUAGCUCUAUCCUUCUUUCUCCUAAAAUCUCCUAAAAUUGUACAAGGGCGUAUAAAAGAAGAGAGGGCAUAUGCAACAGCAAAAGAGCGGAGUUCAAACGUGGGCGGAUAAAUGUGCAUGAAAAGCUAAAAUAGAAGUUUCUAUUUUAGCACUUCACACAUCCUCCGCCCACGUUUGAAUUCUGCUACCUACGUGAGUUGCAUGCCUUUAUACGCCCUUGAUUGUACUAAAUACAACUCUGCGCGAGACUAUAAUCAUGCGUGUGCGUAUACCUAGUAAUUCUUGUGCAAUCAUCUUAGCAGCCAUUGCAGCCAUUGCAGCCACACAUUUUUUAAUGCCACAUUGCCAAUUGAAAGAAUCACUCCUGGUUCAGUUUUUGAGAAGGUGGGUAUAAUUAUUGACUAUGCUGGCCCAGUAUCUGGCCACAUGAGCACGUAUGCUCUAAGGAACACUCUCCUCAAUGGACUCUUUGCAGUCACUCUGUUUGCUUCUCAUGAUCGUAGCCGCUUGGGAACCCAGACCAACAAAGGAGAUUUGACAGACCUACACUACUUCGAUGGUUUGGCUAACCAGGACGAGGUGAUACGACUGACUAUAGACAAUGCAGAGGGGAGAGGGAAGUUGGUGGAGGAUGCAGUGCAUGCACUCUUCUCAGUUUUGUUCUACCGUAGGUGGAGAAGAAAUACUGCAUGUGAGCUGCAUGGAACGGAUCUGAACCAAUUGUUUGAUUGUAUGGCAACGGUGAACUGUAAUGAAAACUUAAUGGCGGUGGACGGAUCGAGGACACUUUCAUUAGGAGUAUCUGAGUGGCUUUGGUUGCUUCGAUCAAGUUGGAGGACGUGUUAUAUAGUGAUUGUAUUACAGGACACUCCAGCUCAAUUCUCACAAAUUCUAAAACUUAUGCAGAGGGAAUUUUUCAAGUGUUCUGGUCAUAAGCCGACAAUUCGUGACAUUUGGAUCAUUACAUAAUAAUUAUAUGCGUACAGAAGAGCAAUCAAGCAUUCACACCCCAAGCAUAUAAAAAAAUUAUAGUCUCCACCAACUCAGUGCCACCAACUCAGUGGACCUGGCCUGCCACGAUCUGCUUUCAUUUCUAGUCUAG